rnacentral:rRNA from 1 species
UACGUAGGGUGCGAGCGUUGUCCGGAUUUAUUGGGCGUAAAGGGCUCGUAGGCGGCCUGUCGCGUCGGGAGUGAAAGCCCACUGCUUAACGGUGGGUCUGCUUCCGGUACAGGCGGGCUGGAGUAUGGCAGGGGAGACUGGAAUUCCUGGUGUAGCGGUGGAAUGCGCAGAUAUCAGGAGGAACACCGGUGGCGAAGGCGGGUCUCUGGGCCAUUACUGACGCUGAGGAGCGAAAGCGUGGGGAGCGAACAGG